rnacentral:lncRNA from 1 species
CGAACUUGAGCUUACUAUCAAACUUCUGAAAGUAAGUCUAGAUCGGCUCUCCAACAUUUUGAAUUGCUCAACUCAUUAUAUUAUUCCACUCUCACUGAUGGUAAUCCGAUCUUAAGGAGAAUCAUCGCCUCCAAUCCAUAAGCUAAGUUGAAUGGAGAUUCUUCUGUCGGUAUAUUAGGAGUUGUACGAUAUGCCUGUA